AUCUUGAAAACGGAAAAUAAAAACAGCAGACCUAUGAAGGUCGAAGGGGAAGAAAAGCUGUAUCGAUUGUUGAGAUCUGGCGACUUGUUUAAAUUUCAUCAGCCUCACUUCUAUGAACUCUCAGAGCUGAUUACCAACUCCUACCACUGUUAACCCUCAUCCAGGAACAAGCUUAUGUCUUUAACAUUCUGAGUGGGCUUCAGCAUCCUUGCAUAUGUUCAAUUCUUAAAAACCUGUUGAAAUAAAAGAUCAGGAGACAUAGGAAGGAUGCCAGAAGAGAGCGUGGCCUCACGUGUACCAGCUCUCUGCUCUCCUUUGCCUUGGGACGUUCCAUCCCUGGAAGUUUCCCUGCCCACAUCUUUGUAGAGAGUCCAUUCUCCAAGCUUCAGUGUGUCAUCUGUGAGGACCGUGACCCACCUGGUACAUCGCCUCAGGGCAUUCAUUUCAGGCUCCUUCUAAAUGGCCAAGGCCAUGAGAGAAGCAGUACCUUAUAAUGGUUCCUUGUUCAAAGCACUCAAUAUUCCUAGGAUGUGGUCUCCCAGCUGACUUCAUAACUGAAUCAUCAGUAAUUAAUUUCAUUGUUCUAUUAGAUGACCUCAACCUCUUGGCCAUUUGCUCUGUGUUUCACACAGGACUUUACUGAAGACUCUAAGGAGGACCUGUAUCUGUUGGGAUCCUCAGGGCAAGCCACAGAAACAAGCUUUGGAUACUAGAAGCAGAAAAUGGAGAUAUUGAAGACUAUUGUGGAGUUUACUGUGAGCCAGAGAACCAGGCUGGGGGGCUGUAUCACUUAGAAUGAGAUCCAAACUCACACCAUAGUUCCAUCCUUGAGGUUGCCAUGUUGCUGCCACCCCUCCUGCCACCCCACCACUGAAGCUUUGGAUGCUGGAUUCUGGGCACAGCAGGGAGAAGUGUUGCUUAUUACCAUUUUAGUAUGUUUUCUUUCAAGACCUUUUCAAAAUAUACAUACGUAUUUUUAUUUCUAUUCAAAAUGGGAUACAUUUUUGAAGGUUAGCAAUAUAUUGUGAACAUUUUCUUUCCAUGCUCAGAAACAUUUUUCUAUAAUGUAAUUUAUAGUGAUAUAAACUAUCUCAUAGACCUACC
rnacentral:lncRNA from 1 species